AUGUGUUUUUUUUCAUGUGUUUUUUUCAGGAGCAGCUGGGUAAAGGAGUCAUUCCGUUCUCACAGUGGGACGUGGAGCUGUGGCCCACCGGGUUCUUUCAUCGUCUCCUCCCGGCGAGCUCCUGUGGUGAGUCUAGUUGAACCAAUAGAAGUGUACUAUUUUUUUCAUACCUAUAUCUUUACACGUAAAAGAUACAAAGUCACUGAAGUCACAGAAGUCACUAGAACUGUAAAUGAUACUAACCCCAUCCAUGGUUGGUGCAUUGUGUGCUUAUUACAGUUUUUUUUUUCUCUCAUAACCUUACUGACAAAAAUGGAGGCCUAAUACAGAGUAAAAAUUGUUAUAUCAUGAGUAAUUUUUUUUUUUUUUUUUUUUUUAAAUCCAUCUAAAUAAAACACACACAUGCACGCACACACAGUGACAUUUUAGACCUUCAGAAUACUGCAUAUACUAUGGGCAUCACGGUGCUGAUCCAGAAUCCUUACAUUAUUGUUUAUUACUAGAGCUACAAUAAUAAAGCAAUGAGGAGGGGGAAGUAAUAAAUAUGAAAUAAUGUCAUUAUGAUGAUCCCAUUUGUUUCACUAUCCACUCUGUGCAGGCAGAAAGCUUAUUACAUUUUUAAACUGUAGAGAUACAAUAAUUUUACUGCUGUAAAAUUCAAAUUUUGUCCUAUUUAAAAUAUAAAUCUACUAUAAUCUGCUUCUUAAUGUAUGUUCUUUAAAAUACAGCGUGUUUUUUUAAUAUAUUAUAAUUAUAAGAAUGCAUAAUUAUGUGGACAUGAAUAUUAGAUCGUUUGUUAGUGAAAUAUAAUCCCUCCAGAAAGGCAGGAAAAGCCCUGUAACUUAUUUUAAAACUAAAUAUGUUCCCUAAAACGGUGACAGAGCUACAGACCCAUGGCAGCUUUACACAGGUAGCCAGCAGCUAUGACCAGCACUACUUGUGCAGCUAAUAAAAGGACAGGUAAUGUUUGUCGCGCUGUUGUACACACAGCACGCUCGUUUGUUUCAGUUCGUCAAUUGCAACAAGACAACUUACCAACGUGUACAUAAUAAGCUAAUACUGCUGUGUGCUGUAGACUACAGUGUGCGCUGUACAGCUACUUACUGGUUUUGUUGCAUCAGUCUGUCUCUGAGUUAAUUUGUGUUUCUCCUACAGCUCCGGACCGCAAAAAAUGCGCGUGCUCGUUGUGAGCUCGUUCCCGGCUCGUAACCAGUGCGUUCUGCCGUCAAGGGCGAUCAUUGGUUAAAUGUGAUCAUGUGACUGAUGCAAGUCAGAUCCUUUUAUUUAGCAAAACUGUUAUUAAUAGUUAAAUGUUAUUGUUGAGGGGCACUGACAGGACUCCACACGCCCACACACAUUAAAAAUAAAUAAAUAAAUACAUUUUUUUAACGUUGCCUCAACAAAAGGGCACUUUGGGCACUCAUCAGGAAAGGGGCGGGUGCUCAAGCCCCUCUAGCCCCCCCCUCUGCACGUGCCUGCUACUUAACCAAAAUGAGAGAACAAUCAGGUGUCACAAUAAGAUGCCCCACAAAUUAUUUGUGCCAGUGAAAAAAAACAAAAAAAACAAACAAUUGUCCACCACAAGACAAAGAAGAACAUCACAGGGAGAAACCCUGCAGGCCUGACAGCAGGAGGUGUGUCACUCCUGUUUUUCACCUGCACUCAAAAAAGUAACUCUUUAAAUGAACAUAAAAAAAAAUCAUGGAAAGAAUUUCCACGUGAUUAAAUUGCUUUAUUUUAGCCUUAUGCAAUUCUGUUAUUCCAACUUAUUGUACUCAAGUUGGACCAAUAUAAUUAAUGAUUGAUGAAUCAACUUAUUUACUGCAUUUGGAUCCAAUAUAAUUUAAUAGUGUUGAUCCAACUUAAAGGGUUUUGUUCCAACUAAAUUCAGUCGGUUUUCUCCAACUAAUUUACUAAAUUUGGUCCCAACUUAAGUUAAUUGAGUUGAACCAACUCAUACAAAUUAAGUUAUUCCAACACAAGUGUUUAAUGCUAAUAGAAAGCCAUUUAAUCACGUGGAAAUUCUUUCCAUGAUUAUUUUAAGUUCAUUUAAAGAGUAAUUUUUAUGGAGUGUUAAACAAAGUCUAGAGUCUGGUUAACAUACAUUUCACUACAUCUAAAACUAAAAAAUUUGUCAUACAGAUAUUUUUGUUUUCUCCCAUUUAUUGGAUUUAUACAGGGAGUGCAGAAUUAUUAGGCAAAUGAGUAUUUUGUCCACAUCAUCCUCUUCAUGCAUGUUGUCUUACUCCAAGCUGUAUAGGCUCGAAAGCCUACUACCAAUUAAGCAUAUUAGGUGAUGUGCAUCUCUGUAAUGAGAAGGGGUGUGGUCUAAUGACAUCAACACCCUAUAUCAGGUGUGCAUAAUUAUUAGGCA
rnacentral:lncRNA from 1 species